AAACCGUUGAAAGGGAAGCGAAUGGAGUUAGCAAUUCGCCCUGCUAGAUUCAGCUGUUCGCGCAUCGCGACGUGCGCGCUCUCGAUCCGCAUGGACGAGGCGAGUGCGGAUGCGACACGUGGGCGGCGCACUUCUGGCGAGCGAGCGUCAGCGUCGGUUGUCGACGGGCGACAAGGAUGCGAGGAAGGUAGACCGUCCCUUGCGGAUCGGUCGUUAAUUCAGCCUCGCGAUCGUACGGCUCGACGGCGACCGUGGCGUAUGCAACGCGUGCCUAGUGCUGGUGACUCGAAUCGUCGGUCCGGUUUGUCGAACGUGCGGACGAGACUACUCUGUGCGCACAAACUGCUGCCGGUCGACCGUUCGGUGUUUGCACACGACGCGUUGAGGAUGCUGACGAUCAUACGGCUCCAUCCGACCCGUCUUGAAACACGGACCAAGGAGUCUAACAUGUGCGCGAGUCUCCGGGUGAUCGAAACCCGUGGGCAUAAUGAAAGUAAAGAUUGUCCUCUCUACGAAGACGAUUGAGGUGAGAAGCGCCUGCUUAAAGCGGCGAAUCAUCAUCGACCGACCUAUUCUGCUCUCAGAAAGGUUUGAGUAAGAGCGUAUCUGUUGGGACCCGAAAGAUGGUGAACUAUGCCUGAAUAGGGUGAAGCCAGCGGAAACACUGGUGGAAGCUCGUAGCGAUUCUGACGUGCAAAUCGAUCGUCGAAUUUGGGUAUAGCGGCGAAAGACUAAUCGAACCAUCUAGUAGCUGGUUCCCUCCGAAG
rnacentral:rRNA from 1 species